rnacentral:rRNA from 1 species
AACGAACGCUGGCGGCAUGCCUAACACAUGCAAGUCGAACGCGUGUAGCAAUACACGAGUGGCGGACGGGUGAGUAACGCGUGGGAACCUGCCCAGUGGUAGGGAAUAACUGCGGGAAACUGCAGCUAAUACCCUAUACGCCCUUUGGGGGAAGAUUCAUCGCCAUUGGAGGGGCCCGCGUCGGAUUAGCUAGUUGGCGGGGUAACGGCCCACCAAGGCAACGAUCCGUAGCUGGUCNGAGAGGAUGAUCAGCCACACUGGGACUGAGAUACGGCCCAGACUCCUACGGGAGGCAGCAGUGGGGAAUAUUGGACAAUGGGGGAAA